rnacentral:rRNA from 1 species
AGAUUAAGUUAUUAAGGGCGCACGGUGGAUGCCUUGGCACUAGAAGCCGAUGAAGGACGUUACUAACGACGAUAUGCUUUGGGGAGCUGUAAGUAAGCUUUGAUCCAGAGAUUUCCGAAUGGGGAAACCCAGCAUGAGUUAUGUCAUGUUAUCGAUAUGUGAAUACAUAGCAUAUCAGAAGGCACACCCGGAGAACUGAAACAUCUUAGUACCCGGAGGAAGAGAAAGAAAAUUCGAUUCCCUUAGUAGCGGCGAGCGAAACGGGAAGAGCCCAAACCAACAAGCUUGCUUGUUGGGGUUGUAGGACACUCUAUACGGAGUUACAAAGGACGACAUUAGACGAAUCAUCUGGAAAGAUGAAUCAAAGAAGGUAAUAAUCCUGUAGUCGAAAAUGUUGUCUCUCUUGAGUGGAUCCUGAGUACGACGGAGCACGUGAAAUUCCGUCGGAAUCUGGGAGGACCAUCUCCUAAGGCUAAAUACUCUCUAGUGACCGAUAGUGAACCAGUACCGUGAGGGAAAGGUGAAAAGCACCCCGGAAGGGGAGUGAAAUAGAACCUGAAACCGU